rnacentral:rRNA from 1 species
UGAAAUGAAUUUCGCCUGAGGAUGACCUCGCUUCUGAUUAGCUAGUUGGUGUAGGUAAUGGCUCACCAAGGCAUCGAUCAGUACCUGGUCUGAAAGGAUGAUCAGCCACACUGGGACUGAAACACGGCCCAAACUCCUACGGGAGGCAGCAGUGGGGAAUUUUCCGCAAUGGGCGAAAGCCUGACGGAGCAACGCCGCGUGAGGGAUGAAGGCCUCUGGGCUGUAAACCUCUUUUAUCAAGGAAGAAGAUCUGACGGUACUUGAUGAAUAAGCCACGGCUAAUUCCGUGCCAGCAGCCGCGGUAAUACGGGAGUGGCAAGCGUUAUCCGGAAUUAUUGGGCGUAAAGCGUCCGCAGGCGGCCCUUCAAGUCUGCUGUUAAAAAGUGGAGCUUAACUCCAUCAUGGCAGUGGAAACUGUUGGGCUUGAGUGUGGUAGGGGCAGAGGGAAUUCCCGGUGUAGCGGUGAAAUGCGUAGAUAUCGGGAAGAACACCAGUGGCGAAGGCGCUCUGCUGGGCCAUCACUGACGCUCAUGGACGAAAGCCAGGGGAGCGAAAGGGAUUAGAUACCCCUGUAGUCCUGGCCGUAAACGAUGAACACUAGGUGUCGGGGGAAUCGACCCCCUCGGUGUCGUAGCCAACGCGUUAAGUGUUCCGCCUGGGGAGUACGCACGCAAGUGUGAAACUCAAAGGAAUUGACGGGGGCCCGCACAAGCGGUGGAGUAUGUGGUUUAAUUCGAUGCAACGCGAAGAACCUUACCAGGGUUUGACAUCCUGCGAAUCUCUUGGAAACGAGAGAGUGCCUUCGGGAGCGCAGUGACAGGUGGUGCAUGGCUGUCGUCAGCUCGUGUCGUGAGAUGUUGGGUUAAGUCCCGCAACGAGCGCAACCCACGUCUUUAGUUGCCAGCAUUUAGUUGGGCACUCUAGAGAGACCGCCGGUGAUAAACCGGAGGAAGGUGUGGAUGACGUCAAGUCAUCAUGCCCCUUACAUCCUGGGCUACACACGUACUACAAUGCUACGGACAAAGGGCAGCAAGUUCGCGAGGACAAGCAAAUCCCAUAAACCGUGGCUCAGUUCAGAUCGUAGGCUGCAACU